rnacentral:rRNA from 1 species
GGGCCCGCACAAGCGGUGGAGCAUGUGGUUUAAUUCGAUGAUACGCGAGGAACCUUACCAGGGCUUAAAUGUAGAGUGACAGGCUGAGAGAUCGGCUUUUCUUCGGACACUUUACAAGGUGCUGCAUGGUUGUCGUCAGCUCGUGCCGUGAGGUGUCAGGUUAAGUCCUAUAACGAGCGCAACCCCUACUGCUAGUUGCUAACAGGUUAAGCUGAGGACUCUAGUGGGACUGCCGGUGCAAACCGCGAGGAAGGUGGGGAUGACGUCAAAUCAUCACGGCCCUUACGUCCUGGGCUACACACGUGCUACAAUGGCAAGUACAACGAGUCGCAAUACCGCGAGGUGGAGCAAAUCUCUUAAAGCUUGUCUCAGUUCGGAUAGGAGUCUGCAACUCGACUCCUUGAAGUUGGAGUCGCUAGUAAUCGC